UGUUUAAAAAAGCGUCGCCUAGGCGCGCCUGGGCGAGAGGCGAGGUGAUUAUAAGGGUGUAGCGCCUCUAGUAGACGAGGCCAGGCGGUAGACCCAAGGCGCUCGCUUCGGGACGCCUUGCCAUGGAGCCCGCCUCAUCUCGCUUAGCGCCUGCAAUUGUAAUAGUUGCGCCUCAUACACCAAAUGCGUGGGGCGAAUCUCGCCUAGGCGCAGGGCGCCAAACCUACCCUCUGUCGCCUCA